GGGGAAUUUUCCGCAAUGGGCGAAAGCCUGACGGAGCAAUACCGCGUGAGGGAGGAAGGCUCUUGGGUUGUAAACCUCUUUUCUCAGGGAAUAAGAACUGAAGGUACCUGAGGAAUCAGCAUCGGCUAACUCCGUGCCAGCAGCCGCGGUAAUACGGAGGAUGCAAGCGUUAUCCGGAAUGAUUGGGCGUAAAGCGUCCGCAGGUGGUUUAUCAAGUCUGCUGUCAAAGAGUUUGGCUCAACCAAAUAAAGGCAGUGGGAACUGACAGACUGGAGUGCGGUAAGGGCAGAGGGAAUUCCUGGUGUAGCGGUGAAAUGCGUAGAGAUCAGGAAGAACACCGGUGGCGAAAGCGCUCUGCUGGGCCGUAACUGACACUGAGGGACGAAAGCUAGGGGAGCGAAUGGGAUUAGAUACCCCAGUAGUC
rnacentral:rRNA from 1 species